rnacentral:rRNA from 1 species
AUUCCAGCUCCAGUAGCGUAUAUUAAUGUUGUUGCAGUUAAAAAGCUCGUAGUUGGAUUUCUAGUCGACAUGCGUGGUCCGCCGAAUUUAAUUCGUGUGAGUACCGCAGUGUGUCGCCUAUCCUAUCAGUUUGGCUGGGCUUCGGUCCGGUCUGACUGGUUCUUUUACUUUGAAAAAAUUAGAGUGUUUAAAGCAGGCUUGCGCAAUGAAUACAUUAGCAUGGAAUAAUAACUUAGGACUUCGGUCUCUAUUUUGUUGGUUUCUAGAACUGAAGUAAUGAUUGAUAGGGAUAGUUGGGGGUGCUAGUAUUGGGCGGCCAGAGGUGAAAUUCUCGGAUUCGCUCAAGACUAACUUAUGCGAAAGCAUUCACCAAGGAUGUCUUCAUCG